rnacentral:lncRNA from 1 species
GGGAAGCUGAAACAGCAGGAAAGCAUGGAGGUGGUUCUCCACUAACUGGAGCCACCCUCAUUGAAUCCUGAAACGUGGUUGAAAGCUGACUCUGUGCCAGGCCCUAAUCAGUGUGCUGAGAAAGAAACAGAAGUCUGCUCUCUCAGAGCUUACCUCCUCCCGAGAGAAGACAGACAAUGAGCAAGUAACCCUAGGGUGGACAGAAGAGGCCUCCUGAUAAAGUGACAUUUGAGCAGACACCUGAAGGAGGUGAGGAAGAGAGCCCUGCAGAUACCCAGGGGAAGAGCUGAAAAGUACAAGGAACAGCGAAUGCAAAGGUCCUGAGGCAGGAGCGUGCUUGACUUGCACAAGAACAGCAAACACCAAGCAGAAUGCCUGGCCUGUAUUAGACCCCGUAAACGCCUGAACUACAUACAUGGCAGAGAUGAAGCACACAGUCUCGGAAAUCUGGCUGUGCAGGUUCAAAUUCCAGUUCUCCUACUUAUCUCUUGGUGAUAAUAGAGUGACAUCCUUCAGAGACCUCAUUCAUGACCAAGAUGAAGAUGAGGAGGAAGAGGAAGGCCAGAGGUGCCAAAGAGCAUGGAGCUGUAGCUGUGGAGCGAGUGACCAAGAGCCCUGGAGAGACCAGUAAACCGAGACCAUUUGCAGGAGGUGGCUACCGCCUUGGGGCAGCACCAGAGGAAGAGUCUGCCUAUGUGGCAGGAGAAAAGAGGCAGCAUUCCAGCCAAGAUGUUCAUGUAGUAUUGAAACUC